CCUACGGGAGGCUGCAGUGGGGAAUUUUGGACAAUGGGCGCAAGCCUGAUCCAGCAAUGCCGCGUGCAGGAUGAGGGCCUUCGGGUUGUAAACUGCUUUUGUACGGAACGAAACGGUGAGCUUUAAUACAGUUUGCUAAUGACGGUACCGUAAGAAUAAGCACCGGCUAACUACGUGCCAGCAGCCGCGGUAAUACGUAGGGUGCGAGCGUUAGUCGGAAUUACUCGGCGUAAAGCGUAAGAAGGAUGUGAAAUCCCCGGGCUCAACCUGGGACCUGCAUUUGUGACUGUAUAGCUAGAGUACGGUAGAGGGGGAUGGAAUUCCGCGUGUAGCAGUGAAAUGCGUAGAUAUGCGGAGGAACACCGAUGGCGAAGGCAAUCCCCUGGACCUGUACUGACGCUCAUGCACGAAAGCGUGGGGAGCAAACAGGAUUAGAUACCCCGGUAGUC
rnacentral:rRNA from 1 species